rnacentral:rRNA from 1 species
UACGUAGGGUGCAAGCGUUGUCCGGAAUUAUUGGGCGUAAAGAGCUCGUAGGCGGUCUGUCACGUCGGCUGUGAAAACCCGAGGCUCAACCUCGGGCCUGCAGUCGAUACGGGCAGACUAGAGUUCGGUAGGGGAGACUGGAAUUCCUGGUGUAGCGGUGGAAUGCGCAGAUAUCAGGAGGAACACCGGUGGCGAAGGCGGGUCUCUGGGACGAUACUGACGCUGAGGAGCGAAAGCGUGGGGAGCAAACAGG